UACGGAAGGCAGCAGUGGGGAAUAUUGCACAAUGGGCGCAAGCCUGAUGCAGCCAUGCCGCGUGUAUGAAGAAGGCCUUCGGGUUGUAAAGUACUUUCAGUCGUGAGGAAGGUGUUAAGGUUAAUAACCUUAGCAAUUGACGUUAGCGACAGAAGAAGCACCGGCUAACUCCGUGCCAGCAGCCGCGGUAAUACGGAGGGUGCGAGCGUUAAUCGGAAUUACUGGGCGUAAAGGGCACGCAGGCGGUUAAUUAAGUUGGAUGUGAAAUCCCCGGGCUUAACCUGGGAAUGGCAUUCAAGACUGGUUAGCUAGAGUCUUGUAGAGGGGGUAGAAUUCCAUGUGUAGCGGUGAAAUGCGUAGAGAUGUGGAGGAAUACCGGUGGCGAAGGCGGCCCCUGGCAAAGGACUGACGCUCAUGUGCGAAAGCGUGGGGAGCAAACGAGGGAUUUAGAUACC
rnacentral:rRNA from 1 species